UUGAACGCUGGCGGAAUGCUUUACACAUGCAAGUCGAGCGGCAGCGCGGGGCGAACCUGGCGGCGAGCGGCGAACGGGUGAGUAGACAUCGGAACGUGCCCAGACGUGGGGGAUAACUACUCGAAAGAGUAGCUAAUACCGCAUACGAUCUAAGGAUGAAAGCGGGGGAUCGCAAGACCUCGCGCGUUUGGAGCGGCCGAUGGCAGGAUUAGGUAGUUGGUGGGGUAAAGGCUUACCAAGCCUGCGAUCUGUAGCUGGUCUGAGAGGACGACCAGCCACACUGGGACUGAGACACGGCCCCAGACUCCUACGGGAGGCAGCAGUGGGGAAUUUUGGACAAUGGGCGAAAGCCUGAUCCAGCCAUUCCGCGUGCAGGAUGAAGGCCCUCGGGUUGUAAACUGCUUUUGUACAGAACGAAAAAAGCUCUGGUUAAUACCUGGAGUCCAUGACGGUACUGUAAGAAUAAGCACCGGCUAACUACGUGCCAGCAGCCGCGGUAAUACGUAGGGUGCAAGC
rnacentral:rRNA from 1 species